rnacentral:rRNA from 1 species
GACGAGGGAUCCAAGCGUUGUUCGGAAUUAUUGGGCGUAAAGCGGGUGUAGGUGGCUAUGUAAGUCAGGUGUGAAAGCCCAGGGCUCAACCCUGGAAGUGCAUUUGAUACUGCGUAGCUUGAGUGUAGGAGAGGAUAGUAGAAUUCCUGGUGUAGUGGUGAAAUACGUAGAUAUCAGGAGGAAUACCGGAGGCGAAGGCGGCUAUCUGGCCUAACACUGACACUCAGACCCGAAAGCGUGGGGAUCAAACAGG